AUGAAUAAAAUUUCUCCCUUCUCUAGUCUCCUGCCUGAGCACCCUCGCACUCCCACGUUUGGAUCCAAUGAAGAGCAGAAGAAGACCCAUAUUAGCCUGCGGGUGUUUGAUGUGGUCCGUGGCGACCCAGCGGAGAUGGAGAUGCUCAUGGCCAUGUCCGGCUCCGGCGGCCAAGGCCCUGGCAAAGGGGUGCAGCGGUACGAGCUGCCGGACGCGGCCACCAACCCCAGGCAGUUCCAGUUCGAGCUCUACAAGCGUCGGAUCCCCAGGGACCUGUUCCUGCAGCUGGUGUGCCAGGCCCUGGCCCUCUACAAGUACCUCGCCCCAAACCAGAUGAACCACCUCACCCUAGCCUGCAGGUUAGGGAUCACCACUGUAGUUUCCACAGAUUCCAUUCGCCACAUGAUGCGGAGCUUUGUUGACGAGAAGGAAAACCCCCUUCUCUGGGCAUCCACUUAUCAUGCAGGUGAAUGCCUGGACCCGGUGGCUGUUUCUGAAGCAAAAGCCAGGCGGAAAGCCAAGAAACGCUCGGGCGUCUCAAGCAACUCAGGUAUGGAUUAUGAGGGCGGUGGAGACAAGGUUGAGGGAAAACCAAUUGGGAAGAAACAAAUGGCUAUAGAAGGUUAUAAGGCACAGAGUGAGAUGGUCGUCGACAGUCUGGAUCGGCUUAUCACCGCGUGGGAAGAUCGCAAAGAAUCGGCCGUUGUUGAGGGUGUUCACUUGAGCCUUAGUUUUGUGGGCAAGCACACCGAGAGGUUUGCUGUACGUGCAAAGUACAUGACGCUUGACCCAACCAAAAAUAAGUAUGUCAAAUACAUCAACAACAUUAGAACCAUCCAAGAGUACCUCUGUAGUCGAGCUGACAAAUACCUAGUUCCCAAGGUAAACAACACUAAUGUUGACCGGAGCGUGGCUUCCAUCCAUGCCACCUUCUUUAGCUGCCUCCGCAGGCGAGCUACCGGAGAGCAGUUGUAUAACGCUGACACAAACACAGCGGCGGCUGUAAAUGAAGAGAUCCUCGAGAAAGCUCAUGGGCUCAUGGCCAUCGUUGAUGUGGAUGGAUCCAUUUCAAAGGCUUGGCUGGUUGAGUCAGGUGAUGGGGAUGGGAAAUGUGGUUCCCAAGGUGGCGGAGACCAGAAAUCUCUAGGAAACCCAAUAUAUGGACCUCUGAACAUUGGAAGGGCGGAGUCGGUGAAUCUCCAGCUUGGCUCCUUUGGGAUAAGUGCAUGGCCUACCGACACAGGCUGUACAAGUCAAGCUGGAAGUGUCGAAGGCUCUUGGAUCAAUGGUAAUGAAGGCAGUAGCAGCAGCCAUGUUGCAUCUUCAUCCGGUGGCUCCCCUAAGAAGGCCGAUGGACAUCAUAAAGAGAUUAAAGAGUCAGCAGCAGCAUCUGGCAGUGACGACGACGAAGAAGAAGAAGCUGAUGCUCCACCUAAUUCAGGGAGUGAUGAGGACCUAAGUGAAGAAGAUCACGACGAAAACCAUGAUGAGUGGCAGAUGGAAGGGUCUGUGGACGAGGACUGCAACAGGUCUGACGAGGAAUACGACGACCUGGCCAUGCGAGACAGUAUGGAGAAUGGUUAUCUGAGCGACGACGGCAUCAUGGUGCACACCGGCUUAAGCAAAUGCCUGAGCAACAGGUUUCCGGACGGCAGCCAGCAUAAUAACCGUGGCACGCCGAGGAAACAUCCAGAGUCUCUGCGAAGCCUGUCCAAGGUUGAUACUACCACACAUGUUCCUGACACGGCGCGCUCUUGUGCUGCGGCUGCCGCUACCCCUGGUGGCAAGAGAAGCACGGCUAGGAAGUGGAGGCGGUCGCUGAGCGACAAGAUCCAUUCGCGGCCGCGGAGCUGCCCGUCUCUCGCGGAAGUGGCGGCCAAGCCCAAGGGCUCAGCUGCUGUUCAGUGGUUCCCGAGUCCUGAGAGGCAGGCAAGGCCUAUAUGGUUUAUGUAA
rnacentral:rRNA from 1 species